UACAUAUUCCAGCAUUUAUUAAAGUUUGUCACUACCCAUUCAUUGUCAACCAAACACUCCGUCGUUUCUGUUGUUGUUUUGGUAUUUAUACUUUCGACUGACCAAUGACAGAGCUUGUUACAUAUUGUUUACCAAUCGGCAACCAUGGAUCAUAUUAGGGAAACUCCCGUAAUGUUGAUACUGUUUGUAAACAAUGAUUGAUCUUCAUCAAUAAAGAUGGGUUUCGACUUUAAAUUUAUUAGUAGAUCAUUAGAACAGUUUUAUUUGAGUUUAUAGUAUAAUAAG
rnacentral:lncRNA from 1 species